rnacentral:rRNA from 1 species
UACGAAGGGGGCUAGCGUUGUUCGGAUUUACUGGGCGUAAAGCGCACGUAGGCGGAUCGUUAAGUCGGGGGUGAAAUCCUGGAGCUCAACUCCAGAACUGCCUUCGAUACUGGCGAUCUUGAGUCCGGAAGAGGUGAGUGGAACUCCUAGUGUAGAGGUGGAAUUCGUAGAAAUUAGGAAGAACACCAGUGGCGAAGGCGGCUCACUGGUCCGGUACUGACGCUGAGGUGCGAAAGCGUGGGGAGCAAACAGG